rnacentral:rRNA from 1 species
GACGAACGCUGGCGGCGUGCUUAACACAUGCAAGUCGAACGGAAAGGCCCUGCUUUUGUGGGGUGCUCGAGUGGCGAACGGGUGAGUAACACGUGAGUAACCUGCCCUUGACUUUGGGAUAACUUCAGGAAACUGGGGCUAAUACCGGAUAGGAGCUCCUGCUGCAUGGUGGGGGUUGGAAAGUUUCGGCGGUUGGGGAUGGACUCGCGGCUUAUCAGCUUGUUGGUGGGGUAGUGGCUUACCAAGGCUUUGACGGGUAGCCGGCCUGAGAGGGGGACCGGCCACAAUGGGACUGAGAUACGGACCAGACGCCUACGGGAGGCAGCAGUGGGGAAUAUUGCACAAUGGGCGGAAGCCUGAGGCAGCAACGCCGGGUUCGGGAAGACGGCCUUCGGGUUGUAAACCGCUUUCGCCUGUGACGAAGCGUGAGUGACGGUAAUGGGUAAAGAAGCCCCGGCUAACUACGUG